AUUGAACGCUGGCGGCAUGCCUUACACAUGCAAGUCGAACGGCAGCGGGGGAGAAGCUUGCUUUUCCUGCCGGCGAGUGGCGAACGGGUGAGUAAUACAUCGGAACGUGCCCUGUAGUGGGGGAUAACUAGUCGAAAGAUUAGCUAAUACCGCAUACGACCUGAGGGUGAAAGGGGGGGACCGCAAGGCCUCAUGCUAUAGGAGCGGCCGGUGUCUGAUUAGGUAGUUGGUGGGGUAAAGGCCUACCAAGGCGACGAUCAGUAGCUGGUCUGAGAGGACGAUCAGCCACACUGGGACUGAGACACGGCCCAGACUCCUACGGGAGGCAGCAGUGGGGAAUUUUGGACAAUGGGCGAAAGCCUGAUCCAGCAAUGCCGCGUGUGUGAAGAAGGCCUUCGGGUUGUAAAGCACUUUUGUCCGGAAAGAAAUGGCUCUGGUUAAUACCUGGGGUCGAUGACGGUACCGGAAGAAUAAGGACCGGCUAACUACGUGCCAGCCGCCGCAGUAA
rnacentral:rRNA from 1 species